rnacentral:rRNA from 1 species
UUGGAAAAAUUUGAUCCUGGCUCAGAUUGAACGCUGGCGGCAUGCCUUACACAUGCAAGUCGAACGGUAACAGGUCUUCGGAUGCUGACGAGUGGCGAACGGGUGAGUAAUACAUCGGAACGUGCCUAGUAGUGGGGGAUAACUACUCGAAAGAGUGGCUAAUACCGCAUGAGAUCUACGGAUGAAAGCAGGGGAUCGCAAGACCUUGUGCUACUAGAGCGGCCGAUGGCAGAUUAGGUAGUUGGUGGGAUAAAAGCUUACCAAGCCGACGAUCUGUAGCUGGUCUGAGAGGACGAUCAGCCACACUGGGACUGAGACACGGCCCAGACUCCUACGGGAGGCAGCAGUGGGGAAUUUUGGACAAUGGGCGCAAGCCUGAUCCAGCAAUGCCGCGUGCAGGAUGAAGGCCUUCGGGUUGUAAACUGCUUUUGUACGGAACGAAAAGCCCUGGGUUAAUACCCUGGGGUCAUGACGG